CGCAGAGAGAUAUGGUAGAUGGGAUAGAAGUCGGAAGUCGGCAAAAUUAGAUCCGUAACUUCGGGAUAAGGAUUGGCUCUGAAGAUUGAGAUAGUCGGGCUUGAUUGCGCAACAAUAACAUGGUUUAUGUGUUCGUUCUUGGUAAAUAGAGUUUCUAUCAUUUAUGAUAGUUAUUUGUUCCCCGGAUAGUUAGUUACGUAGCCAAUUGUGGAACUUUCUUGCUAAAAUUUUUAAGAAUACUACUUUUUAAUUAGUUCUUUUAAAUUAUAACGAUUAUCAAUUAACAAUCAAUUCAGAACUGGCACGAACUUGGGGAAUCCGACUGUCUAAUUGAAACAAAGCAUUGUGAUGGCCCUAGCGGGUGUUGACACAAUGUGAUUUCUGCCCAGUGCUAUGAAUGUCAAAGUGAAGAAAGGUACAAACAUCGCAUUGUCAAAAAGAGGUGGUUUUAGUACGUAGGCGAUGAUGCAGCGAAUGGUGCAUACGAGAUUGUCUUUAGAAGAUAGCCAAAUGCCUCGUCAUCUAAUUAGUGACGCGCAUGAAUGGAUUAACGAGAUUCCUACUGUCCCUAUCUACUAUCUAGCGAAACCACAGCCAAGGGAACGGGCUUGGAAUAAUUAGCGGGGAAAGAAGACCCUUUUGAGCUUGACUCCAAUCUGGCAGUGUAAGGAGACAUAAGAGGUGUAGAAUAAGUGGGAGAUAUUAUUCCUUGUGUUUGAUAUCGCCAAUGAAAUACCACUACUCUUAUUGUUUCCUUACUUACUUGAUUAAAUGGAACGUGUAUCAUUUCCUACCCAUUAUACGGAUAUAUUUAUUAUAUCUUAUGGUGUUCGGUUUUGAUGCAAGCUUCUUGAUUAAAGUAUCACGAGUUUGUUAUAUAAUCGCAAACAAAUUCUUUAAUGAGAGAGUGCAUUUAUGUAUUUUUAAUUUGAAAUAUUUGGUAUAACUCCAAUUACUCAGGUAUGAUCCAAUUCAAGGACAUUGCCAGGUAGGGAGUUUGACUGGGGCGGUACAUCUCUCAAAUAAUAACGUAGGUGUCCCAAGGCCACCUCAGUGCGGACAGAAACCACACAUAGAGCAAAAGGGCAAAUGCUUAUCUGAUCUCGGUGUUCAGUACACACAGGGAAACCAAAAGCUCGGCCUAUAGAUCCUUUUGGGUUAAAGAGUUUUUAACAAGAGGUGUCAGAAAAGUUACCAUAGGGAUAACUGCCUUUCUGAUCCUUCGAUGUCGGCUGUUCCUAUCAUUGUGAAGCAAAAUUCAGCGUUGGAUUUUUCACCCAUGCAAGGGAACGUGAGCUGGGCUUAGACCGUCGUGAGACAGGUUAGUUUUACCCUACUAAUGACAAAACGUUGUUGCGACAGCAUUCCUGCGUAGUACGAGAGGAACCGCAGGUACGGACCAAUGACACAAUACU
rnacentral:rRNA from 1 species